UACGAAGGGGGCGAGCGUUGUUCGGAAUUACUGGGCGUAAAGAGCUCGUAGGUGGUUUGUCGCGUUGUUCGUGAAAACCGGGGGCUUAACCCUCGGCGUGCGGGCGAUACGGGCAGACUUGAGUACUGCAGGGGAGACUGGAAUUCCUGGUGUAGCGGUGGAAUGCGCAGAUAUCAGGAGGAACACCGGUGGCGAAGGCGGGUCUCUGGGCAGUAACUGACGCUGAGGCGCGAAAGCGUGGGGAGCAAACAGG
rnacentral:rRNA from 1 species